UACGGAGGGGGCUAGCGUUGUUCGGAAUUACUGGGCGUAAAGCGCGCGUAGGCGGACCUGCAAGUCGGGGGUGAAAGCCCGAGGCUCAACCUCGGAACUGCCUUCGAUACUGCGGGUCUCGAGUCCGGGAGAGGUGAGUGGAAUUCCUAGUGUAGAGGUGAAAUUCGUAGAUAUUAGGAGGAACACCCGUGGCGAAAGCGGCUCUCUGGGACGGUACUGACGCUGAGACGCGAAAGCGUGGGGAGCAAACGGG
rnacentral:rRNA from 1 species